GGGGGGAAGGAGUGUGCUCCAUGCAGUCAGGGAAGUGGCCUCCAUCACUUCUGCCUGCAUUCCACUGGCGAGGGCUCAGUGAAUGCUUCCUGUUGCAUUCGGAAAUGAAUUUUCCUGUGUGCUCAGGAGGAAAAGAAGAAUUUGGGUGAACAUGUAGCAGUCUCUCUGCUCCAUCAACAUAAAGAGAAGCUAAAUGUUACCACGUGAGGUAGGCAGGACUGACCUUGACCGGCAUCCCUAUCAGCAGCUCAGGGGGAUUAAGUGGCUUGCCAAUGUCACAAGAAAGAAUGCAGUCAGAACAAGUCCAAGGGCGGUCCUAGUAGCAUCCUCUGAUUCAGCUCAACAUCCUCUCCCACAGGAACACAAGAAACAAAUGCUGCCUCUGCCCAGCUGUUCCUCACAGGGCCGCGCUCUUUCCAGUGGCUCCUCAUCAAGUUACCAAGCCGCAAGCCACUGCCUCAGCCAGACACCUUGGAGGACUCUGAUGACCUGUGGCAGCUUUGAGCAGCCCAUCUCUGUCAGGCUGUGAUGUGGAUAUGAUGGCUGGAGCUCCAACAGCCAUCCUGUGACUCUGAGAAUGGAAGCCAUUCAUUAAGGCUAAGAAGCUGCCCUAACAGCUCUGACUGCCUACUUCUAGACUUUCCUUUAGAAAGAGAAACAAAGCCUUAUGUGUUUAAGCCACCCUUAUUUGGGGUUGUACCUAAUUCUGAUAUAACUGGUCUUUCUAGAGAUGAUUGACAGUGGGAAUUUCUCCUUCCUUAAGGAGCAAUCCCAACCCCAACCACUAGGGGGUAACCUUGCCCUACAUGCGUCAACAUGAAAUUACAUCAUUACAUAUGUGUCCAACAUCAGUAAGUCCGUACAAUUCAGGGUUAAGUAACGGUGCACAUGCGACCACUAUGGCCCAGUAUGGGCUGAGCUGUGCCAAACUCCAUCCAGUUCCUCCAGCCUGAGAUUUGCGUCUCACGUUUUCUUCUGUUUUCUCUACCUAGAUCCUCAGCUGCCACAACCAAUCCCCAAACCAAAGAGAGUAUACACAGAGGCAGCUCUGACUGGGGCAAACACAGCAAUUUGUAUUUCCAAACAGAGCAAUGAGCUUUUAGUCUAAACAGCAUUCAGGUUAAUGGUAACUUUCCACUUUUCAACAAGAAGCAAUGGGUAGGUCCUUGCUUUACAUUUGUGUAAAUAAAGGUACCCGUCUGGUGGUUCCAAUGAAGGGAGAUUCUGCUUUGAAAGGAUUAUUGAAAGCUCUACUUCCUACAAGGUGGAAAAUCAUUUGCAUCACUUAAGUUUUUCCAGUUUACAUGCAUCAAAGUUUCAAAAAUCUCCAGGCAGACAGUUUCAGCCAUUAAUAACCUGAUGUGAGGGGAGUAAUUUAUCUAGUUCUCACUCUGGCUAAGGGCAAGUUGCUUUCUCAAAAUGAAAGUACAGUACUAAUUCUAUAAAAAACCCACUCACAACUAACCAACAAAGGACUUUGUAGUGUGAGAGGUGGUUGUACAGCAAUCCUGUUUUGACAGUUUCAGAUCAAUCGCCUUGGUAUCAUCCAUGUGUUCCUUGUCUACCCACAGUUUACUUCCCAAUAGUGUAGAGUUAAGAUGUGGGACCUUCAUGGAGAACUAAGAAUCCUGCACUUCUCUCCUCAAUUUCCUUACUGGACUGACAUGUCAGAAACCCAGGCAGAACAAGGACACUUCUGCAGUGCAGGCUGAGCCUUGAGCAAAAUUGCAUCCAACAUCCUAUUCCUAUGUUGCAGCAACAAGAACACCAGAGAAGAAAGAGCACGAAGUGGAGUCUCCAUUGCCAAGGCUGUAUGGACCCUCCGCUGAGCCCAUGUAAAACUCCUCCCUGAACGCAGAGUUCGGAGAGCUGCAAUUUGCAACAAAAACUACAACAGAGUAAAAACCAUCCAGUGUCUCUCCACUCGGUCUCUUCCAUUGCCAUCCUCCUACUGAACCUCACAUUUUGCCUUGAAGCUAAGUCCUUUAAGGGCUGUAGCUGAAACUCAGUUGGCUAAUUUGUUCUUGUCUCAGAAUUGGAUUGUUUUCAACUGAUCUGAAAGGACUGAUUUUCCAUCUGGCCUAACGAGAGUCUGAAGUUGCUGAAUCAAACGGAGCCAAUAGGUCUGACUUGAGCUGGCUGAAACAUGCACAGAACUGGGAAAGACAAAUAGUCUUCUUUCUGAAAGGCCUAUCAAGCCAAAGCCUGCUCCUCCCCCAUCCUGCCUGCUUCAGCUCAUAGUCCUGAAAGAGAGCACAUCCUGUUCUUCCAACUCCAGAGACGCUGCUGCCUGUGGAGCAAUAGCAGGCCUGGGGGUAUUUCUACCCAAGAAGCCGGCUGUGUGAAGAGGAAGGAUGGCCUCAUUAAGUGCAAGGACAUUGUCAUACAGACCUGGUUCCCAUGCUAGCAUCCUGAGUGCCAAGACCAGAGAAGCCUGGAGUGGUCUACUGACCUCUAGCAGCCCCAGAGAAAACAUGGAAGAGCUGUGCAAGUUUCCGCACAUUCGAGAAGAAUUCAGGAGUAGUGGAGGCCUGAUUGACCCUGGGAGUCUCCUGCAGAAGUGACAGAUGGACAUUGAGGCAGAAAACAGCAAGACCAACUGGGCUCAUGGACACUCCUGGAACGUCAGCAAGCAGAGGCAUCACGGAUACAAGCAGAUGCAUCCCAGGGGAGGCGGCCCUCGCCAGGAUCCCAUAUCGGUUCUGCACACCAUCGGGGAAGGAAGACAAUAGAGAAAAUCCAGAAUUCACUGGACUCUAAGAUGACAAGUCUGAGAGAACACAGAGGUUUUGUAGAAAGGAUUAUACUUGUGUGUUCUGACAUUAAGCGCAUUGUUUCAUUAUAGAAAAUAAUGUAUGUUUCCUGCACACCCAAGUUUGUGGCUUAAGAAAAUUCUAACCUACUUAUAAAUGUGCCAUUCUCUGUCUCUUCCUAUGCCUUUCCCUGUUUUUCACUCCACACAGAGGGAAGCUGGGGUUAGUGUGUUUCUCGGCAAAUCGAGAGAUAACUAUGACCAUGAAGUGUGAAGUGACAGCAACAGAAAAUCUUCUAGACCAG
ensembl:lncRNA